GACGAACGCUGGCGGCGUGCUUAACACAUGCAAGUCGAACGGAGAGGCCCUGCUUUUGUGGGGUGCUCGAGUGGCGAACGGGUGAGUAACACGUGAGUAACCUGCCCUUGACUUUGGGAUAACUUCAGGAAACUGGGGCUAAUACCGGAUAGGAGCUCCUGCUGCAUGGUGGGGGUUGGAAAGUUUCGGCGGUUGGGGAUGGACUCGCGGCUUAUCAGCUUGUUGGUGGGGUAGUGGCUUACCAAGGCUUUGACGGGUAGCCGGCCUGAGAGGGUGACCGGCCACAUUGGGACUGAGAUACGGCCCAGACUCCUACGGGAGGCAGCAGUGGGGAAUAUUGCACAAUGGGCGGAAGCCUGAUGCAGCAACGCCGCGUGCGGGAUGAAGGCCUUCGGGUUGUAAACCGCUUUCGCCUGUGACGAAGCGUGAGUGACGGUAAUGGGUAAAGAAGCACCGGCUAACUACGUG
rnacentral:rRNA from 1 species